ensembl:scaRNA
CAGCACUUGAUACUAACCGAGCUAUCUGUCCUAGCCUUGUGUCAGAGGCUUGUGAUGUGUUGUGGUAGCUGGGUUUAAGAAGUGCAAUAUUAAAACAAAAGCCAUGAGUCGGUUAAGCCCAUUGUGUAAAGGUACACUCUGAGUUAUAACUCAAAGGCACAACU